CAGAUCAUGAUGGACUUUUCAUAUACAGGGAAGAGAGAAAGUUAAUGAUGAAAAUGAUGGAGUUACUAAUGAAAGCAAAAUAACAGAUGAGGAGCUUGUAGCUUUAAAAGACUCUCAUGUAUUUAAUGCUUACGUUUACAAGUAUUUCAUCUCCUGCUACUCGCAAUGCUUCUUCUUCAGCUGCUGCUCCUGUUAUUAAUACUCCAAGGAACCAGUCAGUUACUGCUUCUCCUAAUGAAACACUCUCAAGGUCUAGGAAGAAGCGUAAGAAGAUUACCAAUUCAACUGGACCUCAUAAACAACCAGCAAGACAGAGUAAG
rnacentral:lncRNA from 1 species